UUGAGAGACUGAUCGGCCACAUUGGGACUGAGACACGGCCCAAACUCCUACGGGAGGCAGCAGUAGGGAAUCUUCCACAAUGGGCGAAAGCCUGAUGGAGCAACGCCGCGUGAGUGAAGAAGGUUUUCGGAUCGUAAAGCUCUGUUGUUGGUGAAGAAGGAUAGAGGUAGUAACUGGCCCCUAUUUGACGGUAAUCAACCAGAAAGUCACGGCUAACUACGUGCCAGCAGCCGCGGUAAUACGUAGGUGGCAAGCGUUGUCCGGAUUUAUUGGGCGUAAAGCGAGCGCAGGCGGAAAGAUAAGUCUGAUGUGAAAGCCCCCGGCUUAACCGAGGAAUUGCAUCGGAAACUGUGUUUCUUGAGUGCAGAAGAGGAGAGUGGAACUCCAUGUGUAGCGGUGGAAUGCGUAGAUAUAUGGAAGAACACCAGUGGCGAAGGCGGCUCUCUGGUCUGUAACUGACGCUGAGGCUCGAAAGCAUGGGUAGCGAACAGGAUUAGAUACCCUGGUAGUCCAUGCCGUAAACGAUGAGUGAUAAGUGUUGGGA
rnacentral:rRNA from 1 species